CAGCCGCCGCGGUAAUACGUAGGUGGCAAGCGUUGUCCGGAAUUAUUGGGCGCAAAGGGCUCGCAGGCGGUUUCUUAAGUCUGAUGUGAAAGCCCCCGGCUCAACCGGGGAGGGUCAUUGGAAACUGGGAAACUUGAGUGCAGAAGAGGAGAGUGGAAUUCCACGUGUAGCGGUGAAAUGCGUAGAGAUGUGGAGGAACACCAGUGGCGAAGGCGACUCUCUGGUCUGUAACUGACGCUGAGGAGCGAAAGCGUGGGGAGCGAACAGGAUUAGAUACCCGCGUAGUCCCUGUCUCUUAUAC
rnacentral:rRNA from 1 species